rnacentral:lncRNA from 12 species
CCCCCCCCCCCCCCCCCCCCCCCCCCCCCCCCCCCCCCCCCCCCCCCGCAUGCGUGAGGGGCGGCGCGCGCGGUUGCUGCGGUGACGCGCGGGACAGGCCCCGGUGCCGGCGGCGCCGCUCCCCGCCCGCCCCGCGAACCCGGAGCGCUCGCUGGCUGUGUUCUUUAACUGUAUUUUGGAUGGGAUUUUCUUUUGCUUCAUUGCCAUCUGUAGAAACUGAUGAAUAUUUUUAGGUAAGUUUUAACACUUAAUUUUCAAUAAUUUGUGAAGUUUUCUUUUUAUCAUCUUCU